rnacentral:rRNA from 1 species
GGAUUACCUCAGUAACGGCGAGUGAAGCGGUAACAGCUCAAAUUUGAAAUCUGGCUCUUUCAGAGUCCGAGUUGUAAUUUGUAGAAGAUGCUUUGGGCAUUGCUCCGGUCUAAGUUCCUUGGAACAGGACGUCAUAGAGGGUGAGAAUCCCGUAUGUGACUGGUGGCAUUUGUUCGUGUAAAGCUCUUUCGACGAGUCGAGUUGUUUGGGAAUGCAGCUCAAAAUGGGUGGUAUAUUUCAUCUAAAGCUAAAUAUUGGCCAGAGACCGAUAGCGCACAAGUAGAGUGAUCGAAAGAUGAAAAGCACUUUGGAAAGAGAGUUAAACAGUACGUGAAAUUGUUGAAAGGGAAGCGCUUGCAACCAGACUUGCAGGUCGUUGAUCAUCCGGGGUUCUCCCCGGUGCACUCGGCGGCUUUCAGGCCAGCAUCGGUUUGAGUGGUGGGAUAAAGGCCUUGGGAAUGUGGCUCCUCUCGGGGAGUGUUAUAGCCCAAGGUGCAAUGCCGCCUACUCGGACCGAGGACCGCGCUUCGGCUAGGAUGCUGGCGUAAUGGUUGUAAGCGACCCGUCUUGAAACACGGACCAAGGAGUCUAACAUCUAUGCGAGUGUUUGGGUGUCAAACCCAUACGCGCAAUUAACGUGAACGGAGGUAAGAACCCUUAAGGGUGCAUUAUCGACCGAUCCUGAUGUCUUCGGAUGGAUUUGAGUAAGAGCAUAGCUGUUGGGACCCGAAAGAUGGUGAACUAUGCCUGAAUAGGGUGAAGCCAGAGGAAACUCUGGUGGAGGCUCGCAGCGGUUCUGACGUGCAAAUCGAUCGUCAAAUUUGGGUAUAGGGGCGAA